UACGGAAGGCAGCAGUGGGGAAUAUUGCACAAUGGGCGCAAGCCUGAUGCAGCCAUGCCGCGUGUAUGAAGAAGGCCUUCGGGUUGUAAAGUACUUUCAGCGGGGAGGAAGGCGAUGCGGUUAAUAACCGCGUCGAUUGACGUUACCCGCAGAAGAAGCACCGGCUAACUCCGUGCCAGCAGCCGCGGUAAUACGGAGGGUGCAAGCGUUAAUCGGAAUUACUGGGCGUAAAGCGCACGCAGGCGGUCUGUUAAGUCAGAUGUGAAAUCCCCGGGCUUAACCUGGGAACUGCAUUUUGAACUGGCAGGCUUGAGUCUUGUAGAGGGGGUAGAAUUCCAGGUGUAGCGGUGAAAUGCGUAGAGAUCUGGAGGAAUACCGGUGGCGAAGGCGGCCCCUGGGACAAAGACUGACGCUCAGGGUGCGAAAGCGUGGGGAGCAAACAGGGAUUAGGAUACC
rnacentral:rRNA from 1 species